GCAUUAUAGCUGCAUCUGCUCUCUUGCUUUGCAGCAGAGCUGGCCUGGAGCUUUGAAGUAGCACUGUUGGGGGCUGAGCCAUGUGCAACAAGACUGUGCAUAAGGUGGCCUUGUUUUGUUGAGUGACUGAGCUGCAGUGGGAAUGGCACACACUUCCACUGACCAGGAGACUGCACCUCUACUUUCGGGUAGCUUAUCCCUGUCAGAGACACGGGAGGGCUGGAGCCGAUUCCAGCUGACAUUGGGCUACAGCGGGGUGCACCCUGGAUGAGUGCCAGACAUUUUUGGCCCAGUAAUUGGUGAGAUGUUGGGGUGGCUCUGCAUCAUGUAGGCACCUGCUUGUUCAUUGUGUGUGAUGUGCCAUCAGUAUGUAGCCCUCUUUUCUAUAGUAGCCAGGUUUCAUACUGGCAAAAUGUGCUUAAUAAAGGAGU